GGGCCCUGGGCUGCACUCACUGCCACCUCUUUCCUGAGCCUGGCAGGUGGACAGGGGCGAGACCAUGUCCAAGGCCAACACAGCGGGGAGCCGCUUUCCCAGCCUGGCCCACGCAGCCUGUGGGGGCCCAGAGUCAGAGAACUUUAUUAGAACAACAGCACGGGGGCGUGGGUUCAGUACUUUAUGUGAUAAUCUCGCUCUUUCUGGAACACACGAACCCCUCCUAGUCGAAUUCACGUCCACUCUACCAUCCAAACGCAAGCAGAAUCUGACCUGCUUCCCACGACCUGCCCUGACAAAGGCCGCAGCACACCCGCCAUACCCCUCUGCAGGCCUUGCCUCUGGUUCGCCAUCUUCACUCUCCGUCCGUCAGUCAGACUGUUCUCUAUAAAAUACAAAUCAGGCUGUGGAACAUCUUCCCUAGAAUAAAAUCUGAACUCUUUUGUGUUCGUGUGUGUGUGUGUGGGGGGGUGGUAUUGGGGAUCGAAGCCAGAACCUCUGCAUUGAGCCACAAUUUUUCCUAGCCUAUUUACUUAUUUAUCCACUUAUUUAUUCAUCAUUUUGAGACAGGUUUGUGUUGCACUGGGCUUGAACUUGCAAUUCUCCUGCUUCAGCCUCCCAGAAUGUAGAGAUUACAAGCACGCAUCACCAUGUCCAGAAUUUUCUUUUCUUAUGACAGGAUUUCACAAGAAAAUAAAUAUGAACAGAUAGAUAGGCAGGCAGGCAGACAGAGAGACAGUCUGUCCAUGGAGCCAGGCUGGCCUUGAACCAUGAUCCUCCUGUUUCACCUCCUGGGUAGCUGGAAACCCAAAUUCUGCCGUAGCCUACAAAGAUGUUCGGGAGCUGAGCCGUCCUCCGUGCUGCCUCGCCCACUGUUCAUCCUUCUCCAGCCGCGCAGGCUCUGGAAGCUUCUCUGCUGUCACACAGACACCAGCUGCCGUGGCAUAAAGGACAGCAGUUGUUUGUCCCUACUGUCACUCUCCCUGUACAGAGGUAGGCACUGGGGACAAUGGGGUGACUUGGCCUCGCUGCUCAGUACCCCGAGGUGCUGUUCUCACCUGUGGGGACACAGUCGCUGGCACCAUGGCGCUCAGCCUCCCGUUUGCUCCCACGGCCUGCUCGCCCCCCACAAACAGACCCUUGGCGGUGAAUUCUGUUUGCUGUUCAUUCCUGACCAAAACAGAUCCGCUGUGCCGUGGAUGGGAGUCAACUCCGGCUUCAAGGACAGCAGGAGAGGAGAGCAUCACACCUUCACCCUCACUGAACUGAGGAGAACCGGCUCUCACAGGAAGCAGCGCCAUGCAAACCAUCCCAAGCUGGGGUCCCUCUCAGGUUCACAGUCACCCUGUGCAAGUGGUAUCCAUUCCAUCGCAGCGCGGGGAUGGCUGUACAAACCCUCAGAAAAGACUGGAGCGGAGAGCUCUUCACACUGCCUGCCCCUUGUCCUCCCACCGGCUGACCAGCAGACAAACCUACCCUGCGCCAGCUAUUUGGGGGCAGAGCUCAGGGCAGGGCCAGCAGACACGACACCUGGCCUUGUCCAUCUCAAGAAAACAAAGCCGGGAAAUUCCCAUCUGUUCCUGCCCCUGCGGCCACAUGUCCUGCAUCUGUGGCUGGUCCAGGGACAGGCUUGUGGGGCCCAGGUAUGGGGCUGCCUAAGUCAGGGGUUUCAGGUGACACCAGCAAAUCAUUUUGUAAGCAAAUGCCACAGGUCUCCUCUCAGACUGGACAGCACACAAGGUCAGCGUCAGCAGAUCUGACCCUAAAAAUAGGCUCCCGAUGCCAGUCGGCGAGGCCGGCUGCCGCACGCCCACAGAGCA
rnacentral:lncRNA from 1 species